rnacentral:rRNA from 1 species
CUGCUGCCUCCCGUAGGAGUUUGGGCCGUGUCUCAGUCCUAAUGUGGCCGUCCACCCUCUCAGGCCGGCUACUGAUCGUCGCUUUGGUAGGCCGUUACCCUGCCAACUGGCUAAUCAGACGCGGGCCCAUCUUAUACCACCGGAGUUUUUCACCCUGGGCCAUGCGGCCCUGGGCGCUUAUGCGGUCUUAGCACCUAUUUCUAAGUGUUAUCCCCCUGUAUAAGGCAGGUUACCCACGCGUUACUCACCCGUCCGCCACUAAAGUAAAAAA